rnacentral:rRNA from 1 species
UACGUAGGGAGCAAGCGUUGUCCGGAAUUAUUGGGCGUAAAGCGCACGUAGGCGGCUUAGCAAGUCGGAUGUGAAAGCCCUCGGCUCAACCAAGGAAGUGCAUCCGAAACUGCUGAGCUUGAGUACUUAAGAGGAUCGCGGAAUUCCCGGUGUAGAGGUGAAAUUCGUAGAUAUCGGGAGGAACACCAGUGGCGAAGGCGGCGAUCUGGGAAGAUACUGACGCUGAGGUGCGAAAGCGUGGGGAGCAAACAGG